rnacentral:rRNA from 1 species
AUACGGAGGAUGCAAGCGUUAUCCGGAUUUAUUGGGUUUAAAGGGUGCGUAGGCGGAUGGUUAAGCGUGGGGUGAAAUGCCACUGCUCAACAGUGGAACUGCCUCGCGAACUGGUUGUCUUGAAUGCUCCUGCCGUGGGAGGAAUGUGUGGUGUAGCGGUGAAAUGCAUAGAGAUCACACAGAACACCGAUUGCGAAGGCAUCUCACGAAGGGGUGAUUGACGCUGAGGCACGAAAGCGUGGGGAUCAAACAGGAUUAGAUACCCUGGUAGUCCACGCAGUAAACGAUGAUGGCUAACCGCUGGGCUUAUCAGUUCAGUGGCCAAGCGAAAGCGAUAAGCCAUCCACCUGGGGAGUACGACCGCAAGGUUGAAACUCAAAUGAAUUGACGGGG